AUUGAACGCUGGCGGCAGGCCUAACACAUGCAAGUCGAGCGCGUGGCGGACGGGUGAGUAAUGUGUGGGAAUCUGCCCGAUAGAGGGGGAUAACUACUGGAAACGGUAGCUAAUCCCGCAUCCCAUCGGAUGUGCCCAGAUGGGAGUAGCUAGUAGGUGGGGUAACGGCUCACCUAGGCGACGAUCCCUAGCUGGUCUGAGAGGAUGACCAGCCACACGGGAACUGAGACACGGCCCAGACUCCUACGGGAGGCAGCAGUGGGGAAUAUUGCACAAUGGGCGCAAGCCUGAUGCAGCCAUGCCGCGUGUAUGAAGAAGGCCUUCGGGUUGUAAAGUACUUUCAGCGGGGAGGCGUUACCCGCAGAAGAAGCACCGGCUAACUCCGUGCCAGCAGCCGCGGUAAUUC
rnacentral:rRNA from 1 species